GGAUUUAGGAAUUUCACUGGAUACAGAUACUCAAAAUUUAAAUUUUAUCCGAAUUUGAAUUCGAACAGAGUAAUUUUAUUCAAUGCUAAAUAAAUAUAGUUUUAAAUAUAAAUAUUAAAAAUAAAAAUACGACGGAUUUGAAUACAGUUAUGAAUUUUGAUUGUAUCCGAUCCGAACCGGAAUCCGACUCAAAUUCAAAAUUAUUUUACAUUAUAUAUAUUUAUAUAUAUAUAUAUAUAUAAUAUUAUAUUUGAAUUUGUAUUUUAAAAAUUUAGAUUUAACAUAAUAUAUUUUGAAAUAUUGUAAAGAUAAAUGGAUUCUAAUUUUCAGGUUCGGACUCGGAUUUGGGUUUUGGAUUUUUGGUCGGAUAUGGGUUUGAAUAUGAAUUUUUAAAAUCCACUAGGUUCAGGUUCGGAUUCGAAUUCGAAUUCGAAUUCGAAUUUUGGAUUGGGUAAUCGGAUUCGGGUUCGGAUUUUUGAAAAUCUUCCCUAAAUCGGACCAGUUGACAUNAUUCGAAUUCGAAUUCGAAUUUUGGAUUGGGUAAUCGGAUUCGGGUUCGGAUUUUUGAAAAUCUGCCCUAAAUCAGAAAAAAAAAAAAAAAAAAAAAAAAGGUUUAGAAUAUGAUAUUUACAUUGUUGAUAUGAUAUUUUUUGUCAAUCAAAUUGUGCAUUUAAAAUAUAUCCAUCUUACCAUAAUUUUUUUUAAAAUAUUUUUAUUAUAUUAUUAUUCUAAAAAAAAAAAGAUAUAUAAUUGGCUGACUAUAAAUGAUAUGGUGGGUCUGUCAUAUAUAAACUACUUCUAGAUCGGAUAUUCAUCUUAUACUAUAAAUUUCAAAAUUUAUUUUUUAAAAAUUUUUUAAUAAAAGUAAAAAAAUAAUAAUAAAACAAGUGGGUGAAUAUAUAUAGGUCAUUUCUAUACUUAAANACUAGGUUCAGGUUCGGAUUCGAAUUCGAAUUCGAAUUUUGGAUUGGGUAAUCGGAUUCGGGUUCGGAUUUUUGAAAAUCUGCCCU
rnacentral:lncRNA from 1 species